AGAGUUUGAUCCUGGCUCAGAUUGAACGCUGGCGGUAUGCUUAACACAUGCAAGUCGAACGGUAGCAUGAGAGUGCUUGCACUCUUGAUGACGAGUGGCGGACGGGUGAGUAAUGCAUAAGAAUUUACCCAGUAGUUUGGGAUAGCUUGUGGAAACGCAAGGUAAUACCGGAUGUGGUCUACGGACUAAAGGUGGCUUUUCGGAGCUGUCGCUAUUGGAUGAGCUUAUGUCGGAUUAGUUUGUUGGUGGGGUAAAGGCCUACCAAGACUACGAUCCGUAGCUGUUCUGAGAGGAAGAACAGCCACAUUGGGACUGAGACACGGCCCAGACUCCUACGGGAGGCAGCAGUGGGGAAUAUUGGACAAUGAGGGAAACCUUGAUCCAGCAAUACCGCGUGUGUGAAGAAGGCCUGCGGGUUGUAAAGCACUUUCAGUAGGGAAGAAGUUUUAUAGUUUAAGAGAUAAUAAAAUUGACGUUACCUACAGAAGAAGCACCGGCUAACUCUGUGCCAGCAGCCGCGGUAAUACAGAGGGUGCAAGCGUUAAUCGGAAUUACUGGGCGUAAAGCGUGCGUAGGUUGUUAUAUAAGUUAGGUGUGAAAUCCUGGAGCUCAACUUCAGAAUUGCGCUUAAUACUGUAUAACUAGAGUCUUGGAGGGGAUAGUGGGAUUUCCGGUGUAGCGGUGAAAUGCGUAGAUAUCGGAAGGAACAUCAGUGGCGAGGGCGACUAUCUGGCCAAAGACUGACACUGAGGCACGAAAGCGUGGGUAGCAAACAGGAUUAGAUACCCUGGUAGUCCACGCCGUAAACGCUGAGAACUAGCCGUUAGGCCUUACGGGGCUUAGUGGCGAAGCUAACGCAUUAAGUUCUCCGCCUGGGGAGUACGGUCGCAAGAUUAAAACUCAAAAGAAUUGACGGGGGCCCGCACAAGCGGUGGAGCAUGUGGUUUAAUUCGAUGCAACGCGAAGAACCUUACCUACUCUUGACAUCCUAGGAAUCUAAGAGAGAUUUUAGAGUGCCGCAAGGAACCUAGAGACAGGUGUUGCAUGGCUGUCGUCAGCUCGUGUCGUGAGAUGUUGGGUUAAGUCCCGUAACGAGCGCAACCCCUAUUGUUAGUUGCCAGCACGUAAAGGUGGGGACUCUAAUGAGACUGCCGAUGAUAAAUCGGAGGAAGGCGGGGACGACGUCAAGUCAUCAUGGCCCUUACGAGUAGGGCUACACACGUGCUACAAUGGCCGGUACAAAGGGAAGCGAAGCUGUGAAGUGGAGCAAAUCCUAUCAAAGCCGGUCGCAGUCCGGAUUGGAGUCUGCAACUCGACUCCAUGAAGUUGGAAUCGCUAGUAAUCGUAGAUCAGAACGCUACGGUGAAUACGUUCCCGGGCCUUGUACACACCGCCCGUCACACCACGGGAGUGGGUUGCACCAGAAGUAGUUAGGCUAACCUUAGGGAGGCCGAUUACCACGGUGUGAUUCAUGACUGGGGUGAAGUCGUAACAAGGUAACC
rnacentral:rRNA from 1 species